AGAACGAACGCUGGCGGCGUGCCUAACACAUGCAAGUCGAGCGAGAAACCUUCCUUCGGGGAGGGAGUACAGCGGCGAACGGGUGAGUAACACGUGGGUAACCUACCCUUGAGUCUGGGAUAACCCGGGGAAACCCGGGCUAAUACCAGAUACGGCCUGAGGAUCUGCGGAACCUCGGGAGAAAGUUGACCUCUGCGUGCAAGUUAUUGCUCGAGGAGGGGCCCGCGUCCCAUUAGCUUGUUGGUGAGGUAACGGCUCACCAAGGCGAUGAUGGGUAGCUGAUCUGAGAGGAUGAUCAGCCACACUGGAACUGAGAUACGGUCCAGACUCCUACGGGAGGCAGCAGUGGGGAAUUUUGGGCAAUGGGCGAAAGCCUGACCCAGCGACGCCGCGUGAGGGAUGAAGGCCUUCGGGUCGUAAACCUCUGUCAGGAGGGACGAACUACUCUCGGUUAAUAUCCGAGAGUGCUGACGGUACCUCCAAAGGAAGCGCCGGCUAACUCCGUGCCAGCAGCCGCGGUAAUACGGAGGGCGCAAGCGUUGUUCGGAAUUACUGGGCGUAAAGCGCGUGUAGGCGGCCUGGUCAGUCGGGUGUGAAAUCCCCGGGCUCAACCCGGGAAUUGCGCCCGAAACUUUCAGGCUAGAGUCUCGGAGGGGAGGGCGGAAUUCCCGGUGUAGGGGUGAAAUCCGUAGAUAUCGGGAGGAACACCUGAGGCGAAGGCGGCUCUCUAGACGAUGACUGACGCUGAGACGCGAAAGCGUGGGGAGCAAACAGGAUUAGAUACCCUGGUAGUCCACGCCGUAAACGUUGCGCACUAGGUGUCGGGGGAUUCACCCCUCCGGUGCCGGAGUUAACGCUUUAAGUGCGCCGCCUGGGGAGUACGGCCGCAAGGCUA
rnacentral:rRNA from 1 species